GAUGAAGAACGUAGUGAAAUGCGAUAAGUAAUGCGAAUUGCAGAAUCCGUGAGUCAUCGAAUCUUUGAACGCAUAUUGCGCCCUUUGGCAUUCCGAAGGGCAUGCCUGUUCGAGCGUCAUUAUCACCCCUCAAGCCCCGGCUUGGUGUUGGGCCCCCGGUGGUCGUACCCGACCACCCGCCUCAAAGAUAGUGACGGCGUCCCAGAGGGAACCGGUACGAGGAGCUUUCACGAGCAUGUACGCGGGGACGACUCUGUGGGCGACGGUCUUUUUUAACCUUAAUAUAUCAAGUGUUGACCUCGGAUCAGGUAGGAAUACCCGCUGAACUUAAGCAUAUCAAUAAGCGGAGGA
rnacentral:misc_RNA from 1 species